CCUACGGGAGGCAGCAGUGAGGAAUAUUGGUCAAUGGACGAAAGUCUGAACCAGCCAAGUAGCGUGAAGGAUGACUGCCCUAUGGGUUGUAAACUUCUUUUAUAUGGGAAUAAAAUGUUCCCCGUGUGCCUUUUUUUAUGUACUAUAUGAAUAAGUAUCGGCUAACUCCGUGCCAGCAGCCGCGGUAAUACGGAGGAUCCGAGCGUUAUCCUGAUUUAUUCGGUUUAAAGGGAGCGUAGGUGGAUUGUUAAGUCAGUUGUGAAAGUUUUCGGCUCACCCGUAAAAGUGCAGUUGACACUGGCAGUCUUGAGUAGAGGAGAGGUAGGCGGAAUGCGGGGUGUAGCGGUGAAAUGCGUAGAUAUCACGAAGAACUCCGAUUGCGAAGGCAGUUCACUGGACUGCAACUGACACUGAGGCUCGAAAGUGUGGGUAUCAAACAGGAGUAGAUACCCCAGUAGUC
rnacentral:rRNA from 1 species